UCCCGGGUGGUCUAGUGGUUAGGAUUUGGUGCUUUGACUGCCAUGAUCUGGGUUCAACCCCUGGUCAGGGAA
rfam:Ovis aries breed Texel chromosome 18, whole genome shotgun sequence.